CAGAGUCUUUUUAAUGUUCUUCUACUGUUCUUCUGUAUUCCAGAGCAGUACCAUCUAAACAACGCUGGCUUCCCUUUUGGUACAUCGGGCAGACUCUCUCAUCCUCAAAGCAACCUCAGUAUACCAGGCCUGGCGCUGAAUAAGUACAACUCUCUGAAAGCAGUUGCCGACACUGCGAGCAGGGGCUACUACAAAAGUUAUCCACUAAUGGAUUUCUCUCAGCAUCAUUCCCCUCCUGCACCUUUCCAAUCAAUGCCGAUGCACCAGAAAGACAAGUCCUACCUCCACCAGGUCCUCCCUUCCCAUGACAUCCAUUCCCCCCUUUCGAUCUCAAUCCCAACCAACCAGCUGGAGAGGACCCGCAUCCCAAAAACCAUUACCCACCCUCAGCUUUCCAGCUCAGCCUUCAAAGCUUGGGAUUCUGGACAAAGACAUGUCCACCGGCAGACUUCGCAUCCAGGGCAUUCCGCUCGCCGUCAGACCUACAGCAGCAGGAGACAGUACAGCAUAGAAACACUACCAGAGUUCCUCUCCCAGCCCACAGCCUAUGCGGGACAACCACUGUAUCAGCCACAUUACAAACAUAAGGCCUACCAGACCAACAGCAAGACGGAGGUCACUGUCUGAGGAAAUGGGAAAGAAAGAAACAACACUGCUGACUGUUAUCAGACUGAAUGCACAAAUACUACAAUGUCAGGACUACGUAGUCAUUUCUACUUUCAGUGUUAAACCCCUCUUUAUAUAGUUUAUAUGCGACCCACUUUUCUGAGUUCAUCUCUGGCCUCUGUGUCACUGACAACGAGGUGAGUGUUCACAUCAGAACACAGGACUGGAGCCCGAAGCCACAUUAGCUCAAUGGGGACAAUGCCAUCAUCACGUCAGCCUAAAUCUAUGUCAUUAAGGGACGUUCCCUUAAAGAUCCUGCCCAUCUUUAGGUAAACACAACCUCAGGAUUCCUUAUAUGAAAAAAGACACAAAACAAACUUGUUCUCCUGCCCAAGAAGAGGCAAAGAGCAACACCCAGACGCCUGGUCUCACACUAGGAUUUAAGUUAAAGCUUUGCUGAGUGAGUUGAGGAUUUUGUGCUCAUGAAGAAAGGUUUUUCGAGCUUGAGCAAAUUUCACGGUCUUCCUCUCCAGCUUGGGUAGUCUCGCUGUGAGAACGUCACUCAUUAAAUUACUCAUUU
rnacentral:lncRNA from 1 species